UAGGGUUCGAUUCUGGCUCAGGACGAACGCUGGCGGCGUGCCUAAUACAUGCAAGUCGAACGGUUAUUAGAUGUUGGAAUCUUUCGGGGUGAAGACAUUUGAGGAUAGUGGCGAACGGGUGAGUAACGCGUGAGUAACCUGCCCUAAAGACUGGGAUAACACCGUGAAAGCGGUGCUAAUACCGGAUGUGGCUGAGAUUUCGCAUGAGAUUUCAGUCAAAGGAGCAAUCCGCUUUAGGAUGGGCUCGCGUUCCAUUAGCUAGUUGGCAGGAUAAAAGCCUACCAAGGCGAUGAUGGAUAGCCGGCCUGAGAGGGUGUACGGCCACAUUGGGACUGAGACACGGCCCAGACUCCUACGGGAGGCAGCAGUAGGGAAUUUUGCGCAAUGGGGGAAACCCUGACGCAGCGACGCCGCGUGAACGAAGAAGACCUUCGGGUCGUAAAGUUCUGUCUAGAGGGACGAAUAAAUGACGGUACCUCUGGAGGAAGCCCCGGCUAACUACGUGCCAGCAGCCGCGGUAAUGCGUAGGGGGCGAGCGUUGUCCGGAAUUACUGGGCGUAAAGGGCGCGCAGGCGGUUGGAUAAGUCACACGUGAAAGGCAUCGGCUUAACCGGUGAAAGUCGUGUGAAACUGUCCGACUUGAGUGCAGUAGAGGGAAGUGGAAUUCCUAGUGUAGCGGUGAUAUGCGUAGAUAUUAGGAGGAACACCAGUGGCGAAGGCGACUUUCUGGGCCGCAA
rnacentral:rRNA from 1 species